rnacentral:rRNA from 1 species
AGUGUGUGGAAGAAAGUUUGGGAACUAGGCUGCCCGGCAAAAAUCAGAAUUUUCACUUGGAAAGCGUUGCAUGCUACCUUAGCAUGUGGUGUCAAUUUGGCCCAGAGACAUAUCAAGCUGUCACCGCAAUGCCCCUGUUGCAAGGAAGGGGCUGACACUACGGCUCAUGUGUUGUUUCAAUGCCCUGCCGCAAGGAACGUUUGGAAAGAGCUUGCUUUGGAGAAACUAAUUCAAAAGGCUUGUGCGGGAGAAAGUAUAUUUGGAUUCCUAUUGUAGAUGCCGCAACAUGAAAUGAUGGACCAGAAACAAGAAAAGAUGCAUAAAAUGAUUGCAAUGACCUGCUGGUACCUAUGGUGGGAAAGGAGAAAGCUACGCCAUGAAGAAAAGGUUCAAACUGCUAACCAGAUUGCUACUUCUGUUAGAUUCCUUACAGCUAACUACACUGCUGCGGCCGCCCCUAAAACUAAGAGGAAAACAGGAGGAUGGGAACUCCCGCCUAGAGGACAUGUGAAAUUGAAUGUGGAUGCCUCCUUUGACGGUGAUCUGCUUGUAGGGACGGCAGGUGCAAUCAUCAGAGAUGACAAAGGUAAUUUUAUCGACGCGGGUAAUUGGAAACUUGAUUUCUGUUAUGAUGUUCUUUCAGCCGAAGCAACUGCAUUGCGAUAUGGUUUAUCUUUAGCACAAACUGUAGGCUGUAAUAAGGUCAUCAUUAAAUCUGAUAAUUUGGAAGUGGUGAAUACAAUAAAUGAGGGAGGAAGAUCGGCAGGACCAGCAACAACAAUCUUCGACGACUGUUAUCACAUGGUAUGUGAUUUUCUUUAUACUUCCUUUGUGCACUGCCCCAAAGAGGCAAAUAUGGUUGCCCAUGAAUUGGCAAAUUUGGCAAAGGGGCCUUUAUGUAGUAGUUUCUUCGAUAAGACUCCUAGUGAACUUAUCCCGCUUUUACUCAGCGAUGUAACUCUUGUAACACCGUAA